UGACGUAGACGCCAUUCCCUAAGAUUAACCCAUGCAUGUUUUUGACAUUUGAAAAAUGGACUGCUCAGUAAUACUCACUUUAUUUUAUGUACAUUUGAAAUUAACUACGUUAAAGUGUAGAUAAGUGUGUACAGUAAGAGUGAGACCUAUCAGCUAGUUGUUAAGGUAAUGGCUUAACAAGGCAGUGACGGGUAACGGUAUUACUUUGUAAUAUUCCGGAGAAGGAGCCUGAGAGACGGCUACUAAGUCUAAGGAUUGCAGCAGGGGCGAAACUUGACCUAUGGAUUUUAUCUGAGGCAGUUAUGGGAAGUAAUAUUAUAUUGUUUCAUAUUUUAAAAGUAUAUGAGGUGAUUAAUUGGAGGGCAAAUCAAGUGCCAGCAGCCGCGGUAAUACUUGUUCCAAGAGUGUGUAUGAUGAUUGAUGCAGUUAAAAAGUCCGUAGUUUAUAUUUAAGAAGCAAUAUGAGGUGUACUGUAUAGUUGGGAGAGAGAUGAAAUGUGACGACCCUGACUGGACGAACAGAAGCGAAAGCUGUACACUUGUAUGUAUUUUUUGAACAAGGACGUAAGCUGGAGGAGCGAAGAUGAUUAGAUACCAUUGUAGUUCCAGCAGUAAACUAUGCCGACGAUGUGAUAUGAAUAUUCUGUAUUACAUAAUAGAAAUUAGAGUUUUUUGGCUCUGGGGAUAGUAUGAUCGCAAGAUUGAAAAUUAAAGAAUUGACGGAAGAAUACCACAAGGAGUGGAUUGUGCGGCUUAAUUUGACUCAACGCGAGGUAACUUACCAAUAUUUUAUUAUUUUGAGAGGAUUUUUAAUCUGAGAAUGAUAAUAGUGGUGCAUGGCCGUUUUCAAUGGAUGCUGUGAAGUUUUGAUUAAUUUCAACAAGACGUGAGACCCUUUUAUUAUAGACGGACACAAUCAGUGUAGGAAGGAAAGGAUUAAAACAGGUCCGUUAUGCCCUCAGACAUUUUGGGCUGCACGCGCAAUACAAUAGAUAUAUGAUCUUUAUGGGAUAAUAUUUUGUAAGAGAUAUUUGAACUUGGAAUUGCUAGUAAAUUUUAUUAAAUAAGUAGAAUUGAAUGUGUCCCUGUUCUUUGUACACACCGCCCGUCGCUAUCUAAGAUGAUAUAUGUUGUGAAAUUAGUGAAAACUACUUGAACAAUAUGUAUUAGAUCUGAUAUAAGUCGUAACAUGGUUGCUGUUGGA
rnacentral:rRNA from 1 species